UCCUACGGGAGGCAGCAGUAAGGAAUAUUCCACAAUGAGCGAAAGCUUGAUGGAGCGACACAGAGUGCAGGAUGAAGUCUUUAGGGAUGUAAACUGCUGUUGUAAGGGAAGAAAAAACUAGAUAGGAAAUGAUUUAGCCUUGACGGUACCUUAUUAGAAAGUGACGGCAAACUAUGUGCCAGCAGCCGCGGUAAUACAUAGGUCGCAAGCGUUAUCCGGAAUUAUUGGGCGUAAAGCGUCCGCAGGUUUUUUGUUAAGUUUAAGGUUAAAUGCUAAAGCUCAACUUUAGUUCGCUUUAGAUACUGACAAAAUAGAAUUAUGAAGAGGUUAGCGGAAUUCCUAGUGGAGCGGUGGAAUGCGUAGAUAUUAGGAAGAACACCAAUAGGCGAAGGCAGCUAACUGGUCAUAUAUUGACACUAAUGGACGAAAGCGUGGGGAGCAAACAGGAUUAGAUACCCUGGUAGUCC
rnacentral:rRNA from 1 species